CUUCCCUCCUCCAUUAUCAGAGAAGAGCGAGCCACGUCCCAGUGCCUGACCAACAACAACAACAGCAACCCCUCAGCUUCCUGAUGGCUUCACAGCAGAGAGGUGCUUCUGUUGCUCAAGCUGUUGCCAGUCUGGAAAUGAAGCAUCUCACUCUGGAGAAGCAUUCAGUCAGACGUACAGCUCGGCAAAUGCAGACCGGGGCAGCCUCACACCGAC
rnacentral:lncRNA from 1 species